rnacentral:rRNA from 1 species
AUGGUUUUUAGAUUCCCUGAAGGCCUGAACCAACAAGAGGCAGCCCCUAUUAAUUUCCGGAGUGCUGAGUGUCCUGCGUAUGCACUCCUCCAUCAGGCAUGUCGUUGUUUACGUGAUUCGUAUCCAUCAUCAGACAACAACCGGCAGCUAGAGAAAUUCUCCUAUGCACGGGAGGUCCGGUGCAUGCAUGCGUCGUUGGUUCCGCUCGAGAUCCAUGCAUGCAAGCUAGCCUUCCUCGUUCAAGAAUCAAAUGCGCAACUCUAUAGCAGGCAGAAGGCGGCGGAGGCAAAGCUGUUUGAGCAGAUGAGGGUGGCUGAGGCGCGCAAGGCGCAGACCGACGCACACUUCGUGGAGCAGAAGAUGGCCGAGGACGGCAAGCUCUACGCGAAGCAGAAGGAGGCAGAGUCCGUGGGCUUGGUGGGCAAGGCCAAGACGGAGUACGUGGCGUCCAUGCUCCAGGCGCUCGGUGGCAACUACCACGCGCUCAGGGACUACCUCAUGAUCGACGGCGGCGUGUACGCCGAGAUGGCACGCAUCAACGCCGGCGCGGUCAACGGCAUGCAGCCCAAGAAUAGCAUCUGGAGCAACGGCGGUGGCGUGGACGGUGCCGGGAACGCGGCGGGAGAGGCCGCAGCUGGCAGCGCGCUGCAACAGGUGGCCGGGGUGUAG